rnacentral:rRNA from 1 species
GACAGAGGAGCCAAGCGUUGUCCGGACUGACUGGGCGUAAAGCGCACGCAGGCGGUGCGGUAAGUGGGGUGUGAAAGCGGUCGGCUCAACCGACCGAGGCCAUCUCAGACUGCCGCACUCGAGCGCUGCAGAGGGUGGUGGAAUUGCCGGUGUAGUGGUGAAAUGCGUAGAGAUCGGCAGGAACACCGAGGGGGAAGCCAGCCACCUGGGCAGCCGCUGACGCUGAGGUGCGAAAGCGUGGGGAGCGAACAGG